rnacentral:rRNA from 1 species
UACAGAGGGUGCUAGCGUUGUUCGGAAUCAUUGGGCGUAAAGGGCGUGUAGGCGGUUUGUUAAGUCAUGUGUGAAGCCCCGGCUCAACCGGGGAACGACGCAUGAAACUGGCAAGCUAGAGUACCGAAGAGGGGGUGGAAUUCCCGGUGUAGCGGUGAAAUGCGUAGAUAUCGGGAGGAAGGCCGGUGGCGAAGGCGGCGCUCUGGAACAUUUCUGACGCUGAGGCUCGAAAGCGUGGGGGAGCAAACAGG